CACCAUGUUUUCACCACACUCUUCCGCUUCAGCUGUCUUUUUUGCCUCAUGGCUAUACCCACACUGACCACUCCUUCAAUGAAGACAGUAAUGAGAUCAUCUGCACACUCCACAGAGCUCCAGAGUUACUGUUCAUAGCAAAAGUGUAAUGCUGUCCUUGGAGAUUUUCACCUAAGACUGUGAGUGUGAGUGUGUAAUGGAUUUCAAAGUGUUUAAGUGUUCAGAGCACUCUACAGCCUGGUAAGGUGGCAAGUUUGAAAAGAGCAGCAGAAGGUAUCAGUACUGUAGUGUAACUUGUUCUUUUCCUUUCCUAACAGUGAACAGAGUGCCGAUUAUUAUCGACAGCUACGUCCACCCGGGGUGAAAGUAGCGUGGGAGACCAUCAGGACCCAGCUGGGUUUCCUUGGUCCAGAGGUUUGGAGAAACCUCUUCCUUUUCUUUCAUCACAGCUGUCCUGUGCCAGAUGUUCUGUUGACCCACUGAGAGAGGCGUGUUUGAGAAAGAUCAGGAAGACUGAAGCUCAUGGUAGGAAUGAAGGAGGACCUUGUGAGCUCCACCAGCAGCUCCCUCACAAGGAACUGUUCACAAGUCCACUGCAGGCACGCCCCAGAAGAUGGAUAAAGGCAGCGUUUCAUGAAGACACUGGAACCAAUCUAUCUUCAUAACAGCAGGAUAAAGACAUGGUGAUAAAUGAGUGUGUGGGCCGUCUGCUGAGGACCAGGAGCUCAGGACACUCAGACGGGGGCGUCGCAGCAGGAGUCACCGCGCACCACAAUCCUCUGCUGUUCUGAGAUGUCACACUCCUGCCUGCACAUAGAAACCACAGUGAAGUCAAAGUUCCACCUGCACCUCCACCUGUUCUUGCAACAGCAUGAACACUGACAGAGGAGGAAGGUGGAGGCGCAGCUCCAGCAGAGCAACACCAGAGGU